UGGGGAAUUUUGGACAAUGGGCGAAAGCCUGAUCCAGCAAUGCCGCGUGCAGGAUGAAGGCCUUCGGGUUGUAAACUGCUUUUGUACGGAACGAAAAAGCUCCUUCUAAUACAGGGGGCCCUG
rnacentral:rRNA from 1 species